GCGGAAAGUCAAAUGUGAAAGUCUCCCUUCACGAAUCUCACAGCCAACCAUUAAUAAUUAGAUUUGUAUCCUUUAACAUUUUUUUUCUAUGUACAUACAGGCAUUUGAAAUAAAAGAGCCCUUCAUGUUAUGUCUGUUACAGAACCAGGAAGAUCCUGAUAAAGACACUGCACUCCACCCAGAUUCCCUUGGAGUCUAUGCGCUGUUUCUGGGCUCAUCCUCCAGCCUCAGUGUGUUUGCUACCACACAGCAUGUCCUGUGGGACAGGAGAAAUAUGGAGAAUGCAGCACACUUGCUUCCUACCGAAGUAGGUAUUUUCUUUCCAGAUUUCCUUCAGUUGUGA
rnacentral:lncRNA from 1 species